rnacentral:lncRNA from 1 species
UACAGGACUGGUUUCAUAUGAUAUAAAUAAAGUAAAUACCGAAGCAUGUGUUCAAAUUAAUUGUUACAUUAGCUCGUGUAGGUUUUAGUGUUUCUUCUUCCAAUCACUUCAAUAAUAAGACGAUAUGUUGCGAAUUUACUGCAGCUUAGUGCCCAUUCUGUUCAUUCAUCUGACAAUAUCUGUGGUGAUAGAGACUUCUGAAAAGCGUUCUUACAAGAUUCUAGAAGGAGACAAUCUAUUGGUUAUUUGCAAUGUAACAGACAGUCCAGAUACUGAUGUCUUUUGGACUAAGAAUGACACCAAAAUGUCAUUUAUGCAGCAAGGGAAACGUUUGGAGAUUCUAAUAUCAAGCGCUCUUAUUCCGGAGAUUACAUUUGUCACGCUUUGAAUACAACAUUUCCUGUUCCCGACUUAUAAUGAGACAGAUGUAAACAAGACAAUUGACGUCAUCAAUGUUGAUGUGCAAUACCCCGCAGAGGUUGACUUCUUUGGCAUUGGUCCCUAUGAAUUGCUAGAAAAUAGCACAUUUACAGUAACAUGUGAUAUGCAGGCUAAUCCUCAGCCAACAUGGACUAUACGUAACAGAGAUACUGGCCUAGAGUUAAUGUCGGCAGCGCACAUCUCGGCCAGAUCUACAAUAGGACCAGUGACUGCACGAUGUGAACAUAUGGGAUACUGGGAAUGUACAGGAAAGAACAGUUUAAGCCAUGGUGUCAAUGCAUCUAAGGGACAUAACCUCACAGUAUUUUGCCCUCCAAGACCACAGUUUCAACAGAACCAAUACUUGAUUCAAACAACGGUUGGUAAAUAUACUGAGGUGAAGAUGUAUCUACAGGCCUACCCAAGAGCCAACUACACGUGGUCAAAAGAUGACGGCACUGAUAUGUCAAAAAGCGUAACACAAGAAGAUUUUGCAAACGAAACUACGUUGACAUUUUCAAUGAUAUCAGUUCUUGAUUUUGGAAACUAUUCAUUGAAAAUGCAGAAUGAAUACGGAAUUAUUAUGCCCAUUACCAAUUAAGUUGCAAACGGUCCACCAGAAAGGCCUACAAAUUUCCAUUCUUCUGAUAUCACUUAUAACAGUGUGAAACUACAGUGGACCUCAGGUUUUGAUAUGGGUUCAAAGCAACAUUUCAUUGUUAUGAAGUUAAUUGGAAAUCAGUUUAUUCAGAUCUCGAACUUGGUAUACGACAAUUCUACAAACCAUGGUAUUAAUCAAAACUGGACAUAUGUACUGACCGGCUUGGUCAGCGAUACAUAUUACAAUUUAACCGUCGUGUCCGAGAAUGACAGGGGAUUUAUGUCAUCAUUUGCAAAACCAUCUAUUUCCUUUAAAACAAAGAAAUACCCACACGAAAGUUCAGGAUCAUCUUCUGGCGUGGACGUGAAGUUGACUUUAGGUUUAACAUUUGGCACCAUUGGAACUCUUGGCAUGCUGGCAUUUAUUGUUUAUAUACUGAAAUAUCGGAAAUUAAGGACAUCAUAUACUUCUAUGGAGGGCAAGACCGGCAAAAUCUGAGUAAAUUCUUUCAGUAUGAGGUACUGACAGAGUCAAAACAACAUCUGAGACUUUUAUGUAGUGACGUCCCAGUGACGUCUGUUUUGAAGAGCUUAGAGGGCAAAGCCAAAUCGCUAAAUUUUUUUAAAAUAUCCAAUGGCCAUCUUUCACUAAAAUAUUUUAUCUUUAGAUAUAUACUUCUAAUGUAUAAAUCGUCAUUAAAGUUGUAUGUAUUUAACUAUUAUUAACAUAUAAAUUAAGUUUUCAUAUAGAACUACGUCCAUAAUUAAAUACCAUGCAGUAACAGUUGAUUGUUAAAGAAACAGCCAAUUUUCAAGUAUUUACAGUAUACUGUUUUAAACCUAACGCAUAGUGCUAAUAAUACACACAAAUUUGUUAAUUUAUUGUUUACAGAAACUAUAUGAAGUAAUUGUUCAUGUUUUAGAUAUGAAAUAUGGAUAUAAUAAACUUUUAAAUGCUCAUUUUAUUUACCCGUUUUGGAAAAAAGUAAUUGUGUUGCAACAUUUAAGGUAACCGGUCCACAAUAAGCAAGUUCUAUAUAAAAAAUAUCAAAUAUUGAUAGCAGGUAAGCUCAUAAAAUUUUAGUAUCAUUUGAAAGUGUAUUGUCUCCUGAAAAAGAAAAAAUAAAUUACAGGUCAAAAUAUGCUAUAGAAUUUUCAUUUUUUACUUUAUAGUUUUCAAUGAUACUUCAACAGAAAUCCAGUUAUUACAGAGUAAGAUUUAUUUUUUUGCAGCCAAAGUAGUGAUUCGUGCAUAUUAUUAUGGUCAUCUUAUUUAUCUAUUCCUGUUCAGCAGACACAAUUCUUUCAAAUGGUACAAAAAAAAGCAACAACAUGAAAACUCAUAUCAUGUAUGGUACAUGUAUACAUUGAGCAUUAAAUAAGAUAUAACAUUAAAUUAUACAUAUAUUUCGUAAAUCGAUCCAUUAAAUUGGUCUGCGAUAUUAUUACUACUGCAAAUACCUAAGCAUGUCUGACAAGGUACCGGUCUAUCUCAGUAAACAAAGGUUUCUAUAUACCAAAAUGUUUGUUAGGAUCUGUAGAUUACAGAACUGCAUGAUGCAGUUGCAUCUUAUGUGGUAGAUAACUGAUAUUCAAGAUGGCGUCCAAAAUGGCCACCGAAAAUUGUUAAAUUUCUGUAUAUGGAGCCAUAUGGAUAUACAGGGGUGCUAAAUUGUAUACAUCUUAUUGAAAUACACUAAAAUGUAUGUUAUGUUGUCAAGAGGAUAAUAAAAAGGUUAUUUUUAUGAAACAUUACUAAUAUCCAAAAUGGCGUUCAAGAUGGCUGCCAAAUUGAGUAAGAUUUUUGUUUCAAGACUUCGUGAGCAAACUGGCAAUGUUAUAAUUCCUUUAACAAAUAAUCAAUACUGUAUUUUGGAAAUGCGUUUACACAUUUCACUCUCUAGAUCACAGAAUUGCUCGAUGCAGUUGCAUCAUGUAGGGUAGAUAACUGAUAUUAAAAAUGGCUGCCAAAAUGGCUGCCAAAAAUUGUUAAAUUUCUGUAUAUGGAGACUUAUGUAUAUACAGGAGUGCUAAAUUGUAUAUAUCUAAUUGAA